rnacentral:sRNA from 1 species
CUCCCUCUCCGUCCUUGUUCAAGCCCCUGCCCCCAAUCCCCGAGCCCGCAGAAGGUGUGGGUUGGGUGGCAUUGGGUGAAGUCAGAAUAAACACUUUCAGAAAGCCCCUAGCUUCACGUCUUAGGAGUCUCCCAACGUUCUGGACUAGGGUUUUAUGACCCCAGCUUCUCUAUUUUCUAGAACUCCUGAGCUGAGAAAACCGGAGGGAGGAAGCCCUUGUCUAGAACCGUUUCAUGCGUCAAUUAUAACACGUCAGAGCCUGGGCCCUCCUUCUGGGGAAAGAUUAACAAAGCCUUAGUUCCCUUGCUCCUGGAUUAACCAGUGGUUAGUGGAGAUGCGAGAAAAGACGCUAAUGCUGGCAAGGCAAUAACAUGGACUUCCUCGCCUUAUUCCUCUUUUCAUCAGAGAUGGCAAAACCAGCAGCUCCUUCUGCCUCGAGUUGCUUACUGAACUGAAAGGAAAGGAGUGUACACAAAGAAGCCAUAGGAACAAAAGCCAGCUGGUGGUGCGCAGGUAUAUCUCCACAAGCGUCCCGCACCGUUAAGAGACAGAACCACGGGGACUUGCUGGCCUCAGUCUAGCUCCAAGUUCAGUCUCAAGGGAACAAGAUAGACCUCUGAGCUACUGCAGUGUCUGGCACUGGGCCAUAAAAGACGAACUGGGAAGGGACCCCUAUUCCUUCACAUGAAGUAAAGCCAGGGCCCCACUCUGCUGUCUUCCAAGACUAGAAGCACAGCACAGGAAGCGAAGAGGACCGAUGUGCAGUCCUACACCAGAUGGCUCACAACUGUCAUUCCAGCUCCAGAGGAUCUGACACCCUUUUCUGCCUUCCAUGGGCACCUUCCUCUUCCUCCUGAGACAGGACAUAGAUGAGCAUUUAAUAAAUAAGACAGAAGCAAA